UUAGCACAUGGCAGUGUCAAUCUCUUGCUUUUCUUCUGAGUAGUAUUUUAUUUAGUUGUAAUUCAAACAAUAAUUUGCUUCUUGAAAUUAAGUAAUGAAUUUCUUGUUUUACUUUAUAAAUCUCAGAUCCUGCCUUUACCUGCUCCCUCCUAUACUGAUGUGGUGUAUGUGGUAUUGCUGAGCUUGUAUGUGGUGGAAGCAGAAUAUGUGAGGAUUACUACUGCUGCACAUGUUCCAAGGCUUUUUACACAACUUGACCAAUACACUGACCAGCUCAUAAAAGUCUUCAAGAAAAAAGGAGGCGUUGCAGGGAAGAAAAUUAGACAAACUUUGGCCCCAGCCACACAGAAGGAAACUAUUGAAAAGGGGAGGGAGUGUGUCCUCAGGGCACUACCUUUUUACCUGAAUGAAGACCCAAGCAUCCUCUUCAAAGAAUAAUUGCUACAGCUGUUCAGAGGGAGCUGGAACAAAUUACCCUUGCUAUCUUUACCAUCGAAAGAGCUGAUGCCAGCACUCCUCCAGCCGAUGUGGGUAUAACCAUCUAGUGUGUCCUGCAUGACCUGGAAGACCUGGCCUCUGCAUGUGCACUCUUAAUGGGUGGGAUAUAUGCACUGAAUCUCAGUUAACCUCAAGACUGAAAGCUUUCUUUGAAGUACUUCAGAAGCUCUUCCUUCAUCUGUAUGUCAGCAGACUCUUGACCAAGGUACAGUUGCUCAAGAAUACACUGAAUGAAUAAGCCAACCUUUAAUUUGGAUGAUGAAUGUUCUGUCAGAUGGACAGAAGUUUUUCGGAGGCUGAAUGGGAAUAAAAUGGUAAUUUGUAAAUGACAGAUAACGGUAAAAUUACAUUUAAGAGAAAUUUAGAACAUUUUGAAAAGUUUGUAAACUACUACAAUUUGAGAGAUUUUACUGUUGUGGGGGGGCUAGUAAGAGACCAUCAAAAGUAUUGAGAUUUAAAGGAUUUAAUUGAGAGAUGAUACUGCACCAGAAAUGUUGAAGG